rnacentral:rRNA from 1 species
GGAUUGAGAACGGCCCAGACUCCUACGGGGGGCAGCAGUGAGGAAUUUUCGGCAAUGGGCGCAAGCCUGACCGAGCAACGCCGCGUGCAGGAAGACGGCCUUCGGGUUGUAAACUGCUUUUCCCAGGGACGAGGAAGGACGGUACCUGGGGAAUCAGCUCCGGCUAACUACGUGCCAGCAGCCGCGGUAAGACGUAGGGAGCAAGCGUUGUCCGGAGUAACUGGGCGUAAAGGGCACGCAGGCGGUGCGCCGCGUUGCCACUGACAGCUGUCGGCUUCACUGACGGAGGAGUGGCAAAACGGGGGCACUUGAGCCUCAGAGAGGGAGACGGAAUUCCGCGUGGAGCGGUGAAAUGCGUAGAGAUGCGGAAGAACACCAAAGGCGAAGGCAGUCUCCUGGCUGAGAGCUGACGCUCAGGUGCGAAAGCCAGGGGAGCGAACAGGAUUAGAUACCCUGGUAGUCCUGGCGGUAAACGAUGACCACGAGAUAUGCGGGGGAUCGACCCCCUGCGUGUCGGCGCUAACGCAGUAAGUGGUCCGCCUGGGGAGUACGGUCGCAAGAUUAAAACUCAAAGGAAUUGACGGGGACCCGCACAAGCAGCGGAGCGUGUGGUUUAAUUCGAUGCAACGCGA